AGAUUACUGAGGAGUCCCACAAUAGGACGAAACGGCCGUUCAGUGC
rnacentral:hammerhead_ribozyme from 1 species